CAAAAGAUCUAAAUUUUACGUAAUGGAUCCCGUCCCGAUCGUCCCCUCACACGUGGCACUGCCGCGUAAACAAUGCCACAUCGUAGAGAAAGCAUAAGGGGGAGGCCAUCGGGAGAUUAUCCCGAGAAUUCAAACUAUUCUUGUAAUGUCGUACGAGCCUCGUUCCGUUCGCUCUUUCAUGCGCAGCAUUACCGGUGUAAAUGUAAUAAUGCCGCACAGUGAACAAGCAAAAGGGGAAGAGAGUCUCCGGAUAGCCGUUACAAUCCAGUAACGACUUAACGCAGAUUACUCCUGCAUAAGCGUCUCUGCGAUGAGGGGAGAAGAAACAUGGGGCAUAGACGAUGUGCUGCUGAGAGUCACAAUGCGGAUCAUCAGGGUCUCCCGUCACCUGGAAACCACCAGACCGUAGACUGAGUAUCCGAGGGAAACUGAAUAUAAAUCUGGCCCGAAUACAAGGAAUCCUGUUCGGGAUCCUCGGUGUUCAUUGGCCCUCUGCAGCUCUUCACAUGCUUCAUGGAGUUUGUCUACAUAGUCCGUCUGCUUCCUGCGUCUUCUCCGAGCGGCGUCACGAUUCCUUUUUCUCCUCCUUUCCAGCUUCUGUUUCUCCUCCUCAGAUAGGCCGUCAGGGAAGGGGUGUUUGGAGGGGCUGUUGGGGAUGUCGUGACUUUUCCUUUUUUUCCGUCUCGAAGUCGACCCGAGAGAAAGAUCGAGGGGGGACGGAUCGUCAGCGGGACUGUAGGGCAUAGCGCCCGGCUCUGGCUCCUGAGACAUCUCUUUACACCUGUACCGUGCCCGCCUUCUCCCUGGUAUACACCUGCAAGAGACGCCUGCCUAGGAAUCAGUGUGCGGAAUUUAUUCUUAACAUUCCAGCACCAACCUCCCCGAACCAAAAUAAUAAUUAAAAAAGCAACACCCACAGACCCGAAAGUAUUGAAGAAUUACACGUUCGCGAACGGUCACAAUUCACCUGUCAUUUUAUAAAGGAGCAAUAGUUUAUUUAAGAGAUGUUUCAAUACCACCACAAACAGUAGACGACCACGAUACACACGAUGAGGCUGAAAAAUAUACAUACAUUCAAAAUAAUUAGAAAAACAAAGACAAUGAACGUCCCCGCUACACGUCCGCGUUCGUCUCGGCGACCGCCGUACUUCCGCAAUCGUUUACAGAAGCGUCAUAUCCGUUCUAUUUCCGCAAACAAAGACUUUGAGACAGGAUUUCCGUGUUGUCGUGUCCGGUCAUACAUUCUAUGUAAACAAGGAAGUUAUCCCCUUUGCUUCCGUAUUAUCGAUAAUCGGCUCCGAUCCCGAUUCCGCGGACCAAGCAUUGGCUGCAAACUAUAUCGGAAUGCGCCAGACCUUCUUUGCGCGUCUCCAGACACUUCUGCGAUCGCAGACGAAGAAGCCUGACGUAGGCGGACGGCAAACUUUCGCCAUGUGUACUGCUUGUAUGCUACAACGGCCAAUCGUGUUCCACAUGCAUGCGACUGCAUGUUUAGGUCUCACCCCUCUCGAACCCUACAACAUCUCCGCUCCAUGUGAUCCGAAGGGAGAUCGAAGAUCGUAGACUCUCUACAUACACCGGCCUCAAUAUACCACGACCGACAGAGAAAGUUGGGGAAGGUUGUCGCAGUAUCCGUUUCGAGAUGGAAAGUGGGUCCGCAGUCAAUGCAUCCGGGGUCUGCAACGAUAUCACAGCUGUAAUCAACACGGAUGUAUUUAUCAUGUACAAAGACGGAAGCGCGGGGACGUUGAUGGAGGAGUUGCAAACCUGACGUCACAAAACAGCUACGCAGCAAAAGCAGGUAAAGUAUAACCAUAAUCGUGCAACAACGCCCAAAUAGUUUAAAUGGUGCAAUUCGUCAAUAAAUGAAAGUUUCAUGUCGUGUAU
rnacentral:lncRNA from 1 species